AACGAACGCUGGCGGCAGGCUUAACACAUGCAAGUCGAGCGCCCGCAAGGGAGCGGCAGACGGGUGAGUAACGCGUGGGAAUCUGCCUAGUUCUACGGAACAACACGGGGAAACUUGUGCUAAUACCGUAUACGCCCUACGGGGGAAAGAUUUAUCGGCAUUAGAUGAGCCCGCGUUGGAUUAGCUAGUUGGUGGGGUAAUGGCCUACCAAGGCGACGAUCCAUAGCUGGUUUGAGAGGAUGAUCAGCCACACUGGGACUGAGACACGGCCCCGACUCCUACGGAAGGCAGCAGUGGGGAAUAUUGGACAAUGGGCGAAAGCCUGAUCCAGCCAUGCCGCGUGAGUGAUGAAGGCCUUAGGGUUGUAAAGCUCUUUCAGUAGGGAAGAUAAUGACGGUACCUACAGAAGGAGCCCCGGCUAACUUCGUGCCAGCAGCCGCGGUAA
rnacentral:rRNA from 1 species